AGCUUUGCAAAGUGGCAGUAUCUUAGCCAAUGAUGUUUAUCCAAGGCACGAUUACUGUUAAUUGAAAAAAAAAAAAAACAGUU
rnacentral:snRNA from 1 species